rnacentral:rRNA from 1 species
UACCAGCACCCCGAGUGGUCGGGACGAUUAUUGGGCCUAAAGCAUCCGUAGCCGGUUCUACAAGUCUUCCGUUAAAUCCACCUGCUUAACAGAUGGGCUGCGGAAGAUACUAUAGAGCUAGGAGGCGGGAGAGGCAAGCGGUACUCGAUGGGUAGGGGUAAAAUCCGUUGAUCCAUUGAAGACCACCAGUGGCGAAGGCGGCUUGCCAGAACGCGCCCGACGGUGAGGGAUGAAAGCUGGGGGAGCAAACCGG